GAAUUUUGGACAAUGGGGGCAACCCUGAUCCAGCCAUGCCGCGUGCGGGAAGAAGGCCUUCGGGUUGUAAACCGCUUUUGUCAGGGAAGAAACGCUCUGAGCUAAUACCUCGGGGUAAUGACGGUACCUGAAGAAUAAGCACCGGCUAACUACGUGCCAGCAGCCGCGGUAAUACGUAGGUGGCAAGCGUUGUCCGGAUUUAUUGGGUUUAAAGGGUGCGUAGGCGGUCUUGUAAGUCAGUUCUGAAAUAUCCCGGCUUAACCGGGAGGGUGGGAUUGAUACUGCAGGACUUGAGUGGAGUCGAGGUAGGCGGAAUUGACGGUGUAGCGGUGAAAUGCUUAGAUAUCGUCAAGAACACCGAUAGUGUAGACAGCUUACUAGUCUCAAACUGACGCUGAGGCACGAAAGUGUGGGGAUCAAAC
rnacentral:rRNA from 1 species